rnacentral:rRNA from 1 species
AGCAGCCGCGGUAAUUCCAGCUCCAAUAGCGUAUAUUAAAGUUGUUGCAGUUAAAAAGCUCGUAGUUGAAUUUCGGGAUCAAUAUGUUGGUCGUGCCUUUGGUACGUACUAGUUUAUUGGUUUCUUCCUUCUGACGAACCAUGAUGUCAUUAAUUUGGUGUCAUGGGGAAUCAGGACUGUUACUUUGAAAAAUUAGAGUGUUUAAAGCAGGCUUCACGCUUGAAUACAUUAGCAUGGAAUAAUGAAAUAGGACGUUUGAUUCUAUUUUGUUGGUUUUUAGGAUCGACGUAAUGAUUAAUAGGGAUAGUUGGGGGCAUUAGUAUUCAAUUGUCAGAGGUGAAAUUCUUGGAUUUAUUGAAGACUAACUACUGCGAAAGCAUUUGCCAAGGAUGUUUUCAUUAAUCAAGAACGAAAGUUAGGGGAUCGAAGACGAUCAGAUACCGUCGUAGU